UACGUAGGGUGCGAGCGUUGUCCGGAAUUAUUGGGCGUAAAGAGCUCGUAGGCGGCCUGUCGCGUCGGUUGUGAAAGCCCGGGGCUUAACCCCGGGUCUGCAGUCGAUACGGGCAGGCUAGAGUUCGGUAGGGGAGAUCGGAAUUCCUGGUGUAGCGGUGAAAUGCGCAGAUAUCAGGAGGAACACCGGUGGCGAAGGCGGAUCUCUGGGCCGAUACUGACGCUGAGGAGCGAAAGCCAGGGUAGCGAACGGG
rnacentral:rRNA from 1 species